AAUCAUACCCCUGAACGGUAGGAGGUGGGGUCAUAGAGGUCCAAGCACGAGAAGUAUCAACAUUAAACUCAACAUCUACGCUAUCACUAUUGGUUGAUCGGUUAGAUGAGUUAGAAGUACUAGCCGAAGAGGAUUCAGAGGAGGACGAACGAGCCAAAUCUUUCUCGUACCCUCGACCUUCUUUCUCGGAAGUAUCGGUGGAUUGAGAGGAAGGAGCCAUUACCAGGAAAAGAAGGUUCGGGAAUUGAAGAUGUAAGAACAGGAAAUAUGAUGCACGAUCGAGAAAGAUGAAUCUAGGAAACCAGAAAAGUAAAAUGGGGAGGGCCUACCCCACUAUUUAUAGUCGUGGAAAACGGUUUCUUAAUUCCAUCUUCACCGUUCAUUUGGUCGUGAUCUAAGGGUGGAAAUUUGACGACUCUUCGAUUCUCAGUCAGGGAGAUAUAAAAGUUCAUCCUCAUCGUCCAUUCAAACUGAUCGUAGGGUCUCUAUUGCACAUCUUUUGAUGUUAAGUAAUUUGGCGACAGUUUCAACCCCUUCGCUUGUAUAUGUCGCUUGGGGCUUGGGGGGCUUAUAUAUGUAGUGUAAAUGGGUUGGACUAGGUAGAUCGGGAGGAAAAGAGGUUCGAUCGGUAUACACAGCUGACCGAUCGGUUACAAGCAAAGAAGAGUGAAGGUGAUGUGGCAAAGGUUAAGGAAGUGAACGGAUAUUUCGGACAUGAAUGGAGCAGUUACAACGAGUGAUUAAACAGGGCGAGAUUUGGGGAUAGCGGUUACGAUCCACUAUCGAGAGUAAACGCCUAUAAAUACAGAGGUUUAACUAGGUAUGAGACAGAUCUAAUUACAUUCCGAUUGAUUACAUUGUGUUCGUACUAACUUGAGCUUCGGAGUGCUAACGUGCAGGACACAACCGAUCGGUAUUGAGUGCGAGAAGAUCGUGAAUACGUCAACAACGGUUUUAGGGAUUGUGUUUGGUCCUCGGCCUUACAUCCGAAACAUUUAGU
rnacentral:lncRNA from 1 species